rnacentral:snRNA from 1 species
AGAUGUGAGGACUAUCUGGCUGUAACAUCUUUCACCUCAUUGAUCUCCAGGAUUGACUAGGGCAGUCAGGCUGGCUAGGCAGUUGUCCUCUUUCUCCCUCAUGGCUCCACGUGAGUCCCUACAGAAGAUGACCUCCCUGAAUAGCUGUCACGGGCAUGUGAAGAGCUAUAUUCCACUGCUAGAACCUCCAGAACAAGUUCUCAAAAUUUUAUUGUUGGGACUGAGGAAAGAGCAUAAUGGUUAUGGAAAAGACUUUUUUCUU